ACUUGCAGCCACACUAUUUUAUGCUGUGAUCUUGUCAGACUGCAUAACCUAAGCACAGUCAGGCCUGGUCAGUACUUGGAUUGGUGACCUCAGUGGAAAUCCUCAAUGCCACAGGAA
ensembl:rRNA 5S_rRNA 5S ribosomal RNA